rnacentral:lncRNA from 1 species
AUUUGUUUAUUCAACAUGCCAACGAUGCCCAUCCCUCAAUAAAAUUCACAUAUGAAAUCUCUGACUCUAAGAUCACAUUUCUUGACACUACAACGCAAGUGAGGGAUGGAAACAUAUUUACAGAUCUGUAUUGCAAGCCCACAGACAAACAUCAAUAUCUGUCUCCUUCAAGUUGUCACCCUAAACAUUGCACCAAGAGCAUUCCCUACAGCCAGGCCAUACGAAUAAAAAGGAUUUGCUCCACCAACGAUGUUGCCAAAAAACGACUACAAAAACUUCGCGGUCACCUAAAACAUCGGGGCUACAAAAGGAAAGACAUUGAUAAAGGUUUUUCUCGUGCUAGCAACAUCAGCCGAGAUGAACUUUUACAAUAUAAAGUCAAAAAGGUCAACAGGAAGGGUGCCUUUUGUGCUGACUUACCAUCCAAAAUUUGACAACUUAUCUCACCUUAUCAGCGAAAGUUGGAAAGAUAUUGAAAAACAUCCUAAACUAUCCAAGAUCUUUCCCGAGCCACCUGUACUAGUGCAAACAAAUACUGAUUACCCAGACUUUUAACAGUCACUCCACUGGUACAGAAUACACCAAAUUUUGCAAUGUUAAUUGCAAGACUACAAAUGUUGUGUAUCUCCUACAGUGUAAAUGUGGUAAACAGUAUGUUGGCGAGUCAGAACAGCCGUUUCACAAACGAAUGAACGGCCAUCGUAGCGACUACCAAUGCAAGCCAGACCUCCCUCUUAGUCGACAUUUGAGAUCCCCUGGCCACACUAAGGCAGAUCUCAAUCGACUGACCAUUACUAUCAUUGACCACAACUCUGCUUGGUCUAGGGAGGAUAGACUUACUCGGGAAAGAUUCUGGAUAAGAAAAUUA